rnacentral:lncRNA from 1 species
AUGGAAAAAAAAUGCAAAAAAGCAAAAUGGCUGUCUGAGAAGGCUUUACAAAUAGCUGUGAGAAGAAGAAAAGUGAAAAGCAAAGGAGAAAAGGAAAGCUAUAAGCAUCUGAAUGCAGAGUUCCAAAGAAUAGCAACGAGAGAUAAGAAAGCCUUCUUCAGGGAUCACUGCAAAGAAAUAGAGGAAAACAACAGAAUGGGAAAGACUAGAGAUUUCUUUAAGAAAAUUAGAGACACCAAGAGAACAUUUCAUGCAAAGAUGGGCUCGAUAAAGGACAAAAAUGGUAUGGACAUAACAGAAGCAGAAGAUAUUAAGAAGAGGUGGCAAGAAUACACAGACGAACUGUACAAAAAAGAUCUUCAAGACCAAGAUAAUCACGAUGGUGUGAUCACUCACCUAGAGCCAGACAUCCUGGAAUGUGAAGUCAAGAGGGCCUUAGAAAGCAUCACUAUGAACAAAGCUAGUGGAGGUGAUGGAAUUCCAGUACAGCUGUUUCAAAACGUGAAAGAUGAUGCUGUGAAAGUGCUGCACUCAAUAUGCCAUCAAAUUUGGAAAACUCAGCAGUGGCCACAGGACUGGAAAAGAUCAGUUUUCAUUCCAAUACCAAAGAAAGGCAAUGCCAAAGAAUGCUCAAACUACCACACAAUUGCACUCAUCUCACAUGCUAGUAAAGUAAUGCUCAAAAUUCUCCAAGCCAGGCUUCAGCAAUACGUGAACAGUGAAAUUCCAGAUGUUCAAGCUGGUUUUAGAAAGGGCAGAAGAACCAGUGAUCAAAUUGCCAACAUCUGCUGGAUCACGGGAAAAGCAAGAGAGUUCCAGAAAAACAUCAAUUUCUGCUUUAUUGACUAUGCCAAAGCCUUUGACUGUGUAGAUCACAAUAAACUGUGGAAAAUUCUGAAAGAGAUGGGAAUACCAGACCACCUAACCUGCCUCUUGAGAAAUCUGUAUGCAGGUCAGGAAGCAACAGUUAGAACUGGACAUGGAACAACUGACUGGUUCCAAAUAGGGAAAGGAGUACAUCAAGGCUGUAUAUUGUCACCCUGCUUAUUUAACCUCUAUGCAGAUUACAUCAUGAGAAACACUGGGCUGGAAGAAGCACAAGCUGGAAUCAAGAUUGCCAGGAGAAAUAUCAAUAACUUCAGAUAUGCAGAUGACACCACCCUUAUGGCAGAAAGUGAAGAGGAACUCAAAAGCCUCUUGAUGAAAGUGAAAGAAGAGAGUGAAAAAGUUGGCUUAAAACUCAACAUUCAGAAAAUGAAGAUCAUGGCAUCUGGUCCCACCACUUCAUGGGAAAUAGAUGCAGAAACAGUGGAAACAGUGUCAGACUUUAUUUUGGGGGGCUCCAAAAUCAGUGCAGAUGGUGACUGCAGCCAUGAAAUUAAAAGAUGCUUACUCCUUGGAAGAAAAGUUAUAACCAACCUAGAUAACAUAUUCAAAAGCAGAGACAUUACUUUGGUGACUAAGGUCCACCUAGUCAAGGCUAUGGUUUUUCCAGUUGUCAUGUAUGGAUGUGAGAGUUGGACUGUGAAGGAAGCUGAGGGCUGA